rnacentral:rRNA from 1 species
UACGGAGGAUGCAAGCGUUAUCCGGAAUGAUUGGGCGUAAAGCGUCCGCAGGUGGCUAUGUAAGUCUGCUGUUAAAGAGUGAGGCUCAACCUCAUAAAAGCAGUGGAAACUACAUGGCUAGAGUGCGUUCGGGGCAGAGGGAAUUCCUGGUGUAGCGGUGAAAUGCGUAGAGAUCAGGAAGAACACCGGUGGCGAAAGCGCUCUGCUAGGCCGCAACUGACGCUGAGGUGCGAAAGCGUGGGGAGCAAACAGG